rnacentral:rRNA from 1 species
GUCUAUUAGAGGGUAUUUAUAGUCUAGCCUGCUCACUGAUAAAAAUUAUUAAAUAGCCGCGGUAUCUUGACCGUGCAAAGGUAGCAUAAUCAUUAGUUUUUUAAUUGAAAACUUGUAUGAAUGGUUGGACAAAGAAAAAGCUGUCUCUUUCAUUAAAAUUGAAUUUAACUUCUAAGUGAAAAGGCUUAGAUAUUUUAGAGGGACGAUAAGACCCUAUAAAGCUUUAUAAAUUUAGAAAUUUUAUAUAUUUUUUUUAAUAAUGAUAAUCUUUUGAAAAUUUAUUGGGUUGGGGCAACAAAAGUAUAAUUAUUAAUAACUGCUAGAAAGUAUUACAAUUGUUUUUGUCAUAAAGAAAAUUAGUUGAUCCCUGAAAGGGAUUAAAAGAUCAAGUUACUUUAGGGAUAACAGCGUAAUUUAUUCUGAGAGUCCUUAUCAAAGAAUAAGUUUGCGACCUCGAUGUUGAAUUAAAAUGUCUUUAUAGUGCAGCAGCUAUAUAAGAAGGUCUGUUCGACCUUUAAUUUUUU